rnacentral:rRNA from 1 species
GUACGGGAGGCAGCAGUAGGGAAUCUUGCGCAAUGGGCGAAAGCCUGACGCAGCGACGCCGCGUGCGGGAUGAAGGCCUUCGGGUCGUAAACCGCUUUCAGCAGGGACGAAAUUGACGGUACCUGCAGAAGAAGGCCCGGCCAACUACGUGCCAGCAGCCGCGGUGAUACGUAGGGGUCUAGCGUUGUCCGGAAUCAUUGGGCGUAAAGAGCUCGUAGGCGGUUCGGCAAGUCGGAUGUGAAAUCUCCACGCUCAACGUGGAGGGGCCAUUCGAAACUGCCGUGACUCGAGUCCGGUAGGGGAGUGCGGAAUUCCCGGUGUAGCGGUGAAAUGCGCAGAUAUCGGGAGGAACACCAGUGGCGAAGGCGGCACUCUGGGCCGGAACUGACGCUGAGGAGCGAAAGCGUGGGGAGCGAACAGGAUUAGAAACCCUAGUAGUCCU